UGAGUAGUCUUUACUUGGAACCCGAUAUAAACCUAGAGCUAGAGGCUCUUAGGGUGCCACCAUGCUCACCUGUAGACAUAGGCAGAAAAUCUUGAGCAGCCCAGAAAAGAUGGCACUGUGUUUGCAGAUUGAGUAUGAAUACUCUUUCUUAAUCUAAACUCACGAGCUUAUUUUGCUUAAAAUAUUGGUGUGGCCUGGAGAGUUGGUUCAGCAGUUAAGACCACUUGUUCUCCCAGAAGACCCAGCUUCAGUUCUGAGCACCCAUGCUGAGUGGCUCAAUCACCUAUAACUCUAGUUCUAGAUCCCACAGCCUUUUAUAGGUGUGCACACCCCCCACACACAAAUACAUUUGAAAAAUAUUGGUCUUUUGCAGAUUAAUCUCAUUUUUUGUCUGGGUAGACAGUAAGUGGAAAAAUCACCUUCAUAAGUGUGAGAUAUGAUACAUCACACUUGAUGGCCUCAUCUCCAGAGUAAAUACAUUUGCUAUGUAUAGCUUAGUAGCUUCCCUACCUUUGUACUCGCCCCUAUUACACUGUAGGUGCCUAUGUUUUUCACGCUCUGUAUUAUUUUUGUUUCUAGUAGAAUGAACCUUACAUGGUCAGUAUCAUAGUAUUUAUUUGCCUUCCCUUCAAAGCUCUGGU